AUUGAACGCUGGCGGCAGGCCUAACACAUGCAAGUCGAACGAGUGGCGGACGGGUGAGUAAUGUCUGGGAAACUGCCUGAUGGAGGGGGAUAACUACUGGAAACGGUAGCUAAUACCGCAUACCAUCGGAUGUGCCCAGAUGGGAUUAGCUAGUAGGUGGGGUAAAGGCUCACCGAGGCGACGAUCCCUAGCUGGUCUGAGAGGAUGACCAGCCACACGGAAACGGAGACACGGUCCAGACUCCGACGGGAGGCAGCAGGGGGUAAUAUGGCACAAUGGGCGGAAGCCUGAUGCAGCCAGGCCGGGUGGAUGAAGAAGGCCUUGGGGUUGUAAAGUACUUUCAGCGGGGAGGGGUUACCAGCAGAAGAAGCACCGGCUAACUCCGUGCCAGCAGCCGCGGUAAA
rnacentral:rRNA from 1 species